GAAAGAUUUGUCCAUGACUUUUGCACCAAUAAUGCAUGGAUUUUUCUAACAAUGACAAAGUAGCAGAUUUUUUUUUGUGUAACAUGACUGCCAUGCACAAUGUAGCACAGUGAGAUUGACCAAGUUUAUCUGACGUUUUAUGCUGUGGCACAUGUUCUGGGUACAAUAGAUUCAAUGCUAUAAACAUACCCAAAACAUUGGCAUCCUGUGAAGGGUUAAAGGAG